CCUACGGGAGGCAGCAGUGGGGAAUAUUGCACAAUGGGCGAAAGCCUGAUGCAGCAACGCCGCGUGAAGGAAGAAGGGUUUCGGCUCGUAAACUUCUAGCAACAGGGACGAAAGAAAUGACGGUACCGGAAUAAGAAGCCCCGGCUAACUACGUGCCAGCAGCCGCGGUAAUACGUAGGGGGCAAGCGUUCUCCGGAAUUACUGGGUGUAAAGGGUGAGUAGGCGGCAUGGUAAGCCAGAGGUGAAAGCCGUGGGCCUAACCCGAGGAUUUCAUUUGGAACUAUCAAGCUAGAGUACAGGGGAGGCCAGCGGCCUUCCUAUUGUAGCGGUUCACUGCGUAGAUAUUAGGAAGCACACCAGUGGCGCAGGCGGCUUUCUGGACUGAACCUGCCGCUGCGGCACGCACGCGUGGGGAGCGAACAGGAUUAGAUACCCUUGUAGUC
rnacentral:rRNA from 1 species